ensembl:lncRNA
CCUCCUUUCUCAUGUUAGCAGCUCUACAACGUUAAAUUUAGUUUUUCCUUUUAAGUUUCUUUUUAAAAUGCAAACUUCACAUAAACAGUCUAGCCCUAAACUGGGCUGCUAUCGGGCAGGAAAGGAAAUGGAAAAAGCAGCUGACAUGUUGUUUGGGCUUUGGGGCGGGGAGGCUGAUAGCCCCUAGACAGAUAGACCAAGAGUUGCUUUCUCACCCUUCCUGUCCGCGAUGCUGCAGCAGAACUAUGGGGCUGCAUUUUUAAGGCACCUUCUGAAAACCUCCCAUCACCUUUGUUUGCACAGAGAAGCAGGUCAGCGAUGAGACUGCCUUUUCUGCCGAGCUCCAUGGCAAAGGUGUGGCUGCAAUGAUGCAUCCUGUUGACCGAAGCUAGUGAUGCCCCCCCUUUGUCUUUUGGGGGCACUUUUUGCUCUUCCUCUAUGGUCACUAAUGUAGACGAACACGACUCAAAGUUCAGAGAACCUGUGAAGUAGACACUUCAUUUUGUUCAGGUUUCCUCUAGUGGGAGGAACUGGCUUCUCUUCAAUCUCUUGAAUAAAGCUGGUAUAAACGUAGAACUGAUUCUCAUAUUGCGAUCCAUUCCUCAUUUACUGAAUUAAUCACGCAAGUCAUCAAGAAAAAACCUUUGAAAUGGAUUGGUUUUUGUCUUCUGAAUUCAUCAACUUAUUCCUGGGUUUACAAUCUUGUAUAAUGUCACAGCUUCUGGGAAGCUAUACUGCCAGCAAAUGAAGAUCUUGACUAAAGAUGGGGAAUAUACAUAUUUCUACAUUUAUUUUUCCUUUAUUUACAUACCCAGUGUGUACAUCAAAAUGAUGCAUAAACAUGAAUAAUGGAUGAAUUAAGAAUGCUUAGCAAUUAUUUUUAACAGUUAAAGAAAGAAAUGAGAAAGUAUUUUACAUCACAGAUUUGUAUGUAAGCAUCAUGUGCUACCAUUCAACAAGACCUAGACAGACUGGAGAGUUGGGCAUUUAACAAGAGCAAGUGUAGAGUCUUGCACCUGGGGAGGAAUAACUGCAUGGAUCAGUACAGGUUAAGGGAUGACCUGCGGGAGAGGAGCUCUGUAGACAAGGAUCUGAGAACCCUUCUGAACACCAACCUAUGCAACCUACUGUAGGGUGCCUGCCUGCUUUAGCAGGGAGUUGGAUUUAAUGACCUCUUGAGGUCCCUUCCAACCCCUGCAACUCUGUGAUUCUGUGAAUAUUUAAAAAGGUAUGUAAUUUAUCUAGGUACGUAUACAAAAUUCUGAAUACAUUAUAGCAAAAGCUUUAUUUACCUCGGAGAUAAAACACUUUCCCUUUUCAAUUGUUUUUAUUUGCUUCUCUUUGUAAAAAAUCAGAAGAUGUUUUUAAAGUCUUGUUCUAUCCACACAGGAGUUAUGUUUAUCUGCCAAUGAUUAUUCUCCUCAAACGCAAAAGUCUAGAAUCAAAUGUCCUAAAUGUGGCUGCCACUUUUUUUAUCCUGUAUAAUUUGAUUUUUUAACAGCUAAAAAAAAUCAGGGCACUGCAGACAGGGUACUUAAUAUGAUUUAGACUCUUUCCAUGUAUGCUGUAUGAAAUCACUGUAUGAAAUCCACGCCUGCUGGAUUUAUGACUCACAAAUCAAACGCAGAUGCAAUAUUCAGAGUCAGGAUCUGGAUGACUCUGGAUGAGUAGAAGAAAACAUGUCUGAAAAUAUUUUGCAGUCAUUGUGACCCAUAAGAGUUAUAGUAAGUGUCCUACUCCUUGUCAUGGGCCUGCAUGUGAGUUAUGAUACGUCCACGUCAAGAACAACAAACAAAAAAAAAACCCUAAGUAUGGAAACUCAAAAAAAAAAUUGUCAUUUGACUUUUGGUCUACAAAAAUCUGUGGAGCCACAGAGGACUACAGAAUGCGGUGAUCCCCAAAGGCCAUUCCUGAGUAUGUUCCCUGGCCAGGCACCACCACCUCUAGCUGCUCGUAGCUGCUCUUCCUGGUUCUGGUUAUUUCCUGAAAUCACUGGAAACAGAACAUAAUUUUCUAAUAAGCUUACUAGCUAAUUAUGCUGCUAUGUUCUAGUCUCCAUCUCCAUUUCCAUUUUUACCUAUUCUAGGGAAAAAAUAUAUAUAUACAUAUAAACACACACAUAUAUAUGAAAUAAUUUUAUGCCAGUAGUCUAAAUAAAUGCUUUUGUUUUAAAUAAAUUUAAAUCAACAGCAUCUUGUCUUGAAAGCUAAUAACUGCAAGAAAGCACAGAGAAUGUAAGUCUUAGUUCAGAAAAACAGUCACUAUUAUACCUGCUGUUAUUUUACUAGAAUUUAUAAAUGGGUAAUUUUUAUUAUUAUUUUCAAGAAUGUCCUAUGAAACAGAGUCCUUUAAAUAUUCCUAUAUUUCUGGUCCUAGAAUGAGUAAUGACUGAGCUCACAACUGCCUGGAAAUGCCUUCAGUCAAUCAGAAGCACAAAUAAAUCCAUGCCAUAGGACUGAAGGAUUGGACGGACCAAUGAAUAUUUGCACGUGCAUACAAAAAUCCCACAUGAGCAUUUCAGAAGUAAGUCUGAGGCUAAAACUAGCUCAUGCUCAUGCUCUCCAUUAAAUAACUUAAAACAUGCACUUACAAAAUCCCAAAAGUUGAAUUAAUUUCUAUUAUUGUUUGCUCGUUUCGCCUCUCCAAAAGGCCGGCUGCUGCUUCCUGUGUUACACAGGUCUCUACUGCCAUCCCCUGCUUAUUUGUAAAACUGCUUUUAUUCCUGGAAUCGUUGGAGCUGAUCACUGCCAGGACUUGAGCUGAAGAAAAGACCUUCUGUGAGCUUCUCUAGAGAAAUGCUUUUUAUUUUGUCAAAAUUAAGAGAUCACGCACAUCUUUUGUCUUGGC